rnacentral:rRNA from 1 species
CGGUAGUCCACGCCGUAAACGAUGGGUACUAGGUUUGGGAGGCAUCGACCCCUUCUGAGCCGCAGCUAACGCAUUAAGUACCCCGCCUGGGAAGUACGAUCGCAAGAUUAAAACUCAAAGGAAUUGACGGGGCCCCGCACAAGCGGUGGAGCAUGUGGUUUAAUUCGUGGCUACGCGAAGAACCUUACCUGGACUAGACUUCCUCGGAACACCUGUGAAAGCAGGAAGUGCCUUCGGGAGCCGAGGUAUACAGGUGCUGCAUGGCUGUCGUCAGCUCGUGUCGUGAGAUGUUGGAUUAAGUUCCGCAACGAGCGCAACCCUUGUCGUUAGUUACCAGCAUUUAGUUGGGGACUCUAGCGAGACUGCCGGUCUCAAACCGGAGGAAGGUGAGGAUGACGUCAAGUCAGCAUGGCCUUUAUGUUUCAGGGCUACACACGUGCUACAAUGGGCCGGUACAACGAGUCGCGACAUAGCAAUAUGAAGCUAAUCUCUU